rnacentral:rRNA from 1 species
CAGUAGCCACGGUAAUACGAAGGGUGCAAGCGUUACUCGGAAUUACUGGGCGUAAAGCGUGCGUAGGUGGUUGUUUAAGUCUGCUGUGAAAGCCCUGGGCUCAACCUGGGAAUUGCAGUGGAUACUGGGCGACUAGAGUAAGGUAGAGGAUAGUGGAAUUUCCGGUGUAGCAGUGAAAUGCGUAGAGAUCGGAAGGAACAUCUGUGGCGAAGGCGACUAUCUGGGCCAUUACUGACACUGAGGCACGAAAGCGUGGGGAGCAAACAGGAUUAGAUACCCCGGUAGUCCCUGUCUCUUAUAC